UACCAGCACCCCGAGUGGUCGGGACGUUUGUUGGGCCUAAAGCAUCCGUAGCCGGUUCUACAAGUCUUCCGUUAAAUCCACCUGCUCAACAGAUGGGCUGCGGAAGAUACUAUGGAGCUAGGAGGCGGGAGAGGCAAGCGGUACUCGAUGGGUAGGGGUAAAAUCCGUUGAUCCAUUGAAGACCACCAGUGGCGAAGGCGGCUUGCCAGAACGCGCUCGACGGUGAGGGAUGAAAGCUGGGGGAGCAAACCGG
rnacentral:rRNA from 1 species